GCCGAGAUAGCUCAGUUGGUAGAGCAGAGGACUGAAAAUCCUCGUGU
rnacentral:tRNA from 1 species